UACGAAGGGGGCUAGCGUUGUUCGGAAUCACUGGGCGUAAAGCGCACGUAGGCGGAUUUGUCAGUCAGGGGUGAAAUCCCGGAGCUCAACUUCGGAACUGCCUCUGAUACAGCAAGUCUUGAGUUCGAGAGAGGUGGGUGGAAUUCCUAGUGUAGAGGUGAAAUUCGUAGAUAUUAGGAAGAACACCGGUGGCGAAGGCGGCCCACUGGCUCGAUACUGACGCUGAGGUGCGAAAGCGUGGGGAGCGAACAGG
rnacentral:rRNA from 1 species